rnacentral:misc_RNA from 1 species
GAUGAAGAACGCAGCGAAAUGCGAUAACUAGUGUGAAUUGCAGAAUUCAGUGAAUCAUCGAAUCUUUGAACGCACAUUGCGCCCCUUGGUAUUCCAUGGGGCAUGCCUGUUCGAGCGUCAUUUGUACCUUCAAGCUUUGCUUGGUGUUGGGUGUUUGUCCCGAGGGACUCGCCUUAAAGUAAUUGGCAGCCAGUGUUUGGUUUUGAAGCGCAGCACAAGUCGCGAUUCAAGGCUACACGCCCGCUUCCACAAGCCUUUUUUCACUUUUGACCUCGGAUCAGGUAGGGAUACCCGCUGAACUUAAGCAUAUCAAUAAGCGGAGGA